UUGUGGGAGUUCUUUAAAGGAGGUUUCUGACAACCUUCAUAACAGUUCAUUUUGGCAAUUUAUUAAACUCCCCUACAUAGAACUCUCACUAUUUUUACAGGAUUAAAAUUUCCAUUCCCGCAAACACACCUAAACAAAUAGAAUAGUGAAACCCCCAAAUCAAACCCUAAACAGAAUUUCUCAAUUUUAAUAGAUGAGAAACGCUGCGAUGCUGCACCUCCAGCUACUCAUUUCACCACCGCCGACUCAACCACAUCUGAGCCUACAUCCACGCACCACCGUGCUAGAAGCGUAAGGCCAGGUCCCUCUCACUAAAGUGCAUCAAAUCCGCAUGGCGUCGCUACUGCUUCGUCUUCUACGGCGGGUCUUGCCGCUUGUUCUAGCUACCUCUUCAGGAACUCCGAUUCUGAUAUCUGGAGAGUGUCCUAACUCGAUUCCACCUUCUUCCUUCAAUCUCCACAACCAAAAUGCCUCUCAGACUCGAAAUUAAGGAACAUAAAAAGGCUAUGAACAAGCUUCAGCAAGAAUGUGAAGAAAAAAUUGCAAGAUUAAAAGUUGAGGUUAAGGCAUGUCUACAUAAGGAAGAAACAUAUGAAUCAACCACAAGUCAGCUGCAUCAAGAUUUAACAGCAUAUAAAAAUCAAAUAUGUAAGUCCUAGCUAAUAGGUUGGACCAAAUCCAUUUUGAAGUGGAAUCAAAAUAUAAUGUUGAGAUUCAAGACUUGAUAGAAUGCCUGCUAGCUGAGCAGAAAGAAAAAAUGAGUUAAUUUACUUCUUACUUUAAUUUGCACAUCAAUCCGGCUUUGCUUGUUCGAAACUAUUGAGCAUGAGGAGUUGCACUUGUCAAAUCAACUCAAGCUUCUAUUUCUUCAAAGCGAGAUAACAGUAACAUUGCUGCUACCGCAACUGGCAGCAGCAACAAGCAUGUUUCAUUACUAAGCUAUGCUAAUAAAAGAAGAUCUACCCCCUAACAAGUUGCUUCAGAUGUCAGACAAUUUUUAAUAAUUUGACAACAUCAGUCAUGAAGAAAUUUGAAAGUGCAACAACUGGCUUAGAAGGCGAUGUAGAUGCAUUCUGCACUUACAUCAUUAAUUGAAAACAAAAGGAACAAAAUUCCUCUUGAUUUAUCAAGCACGUGCAACAAUACAGCCAGCUCUAAAUGGUGCUUGCUUUCGACAGAGUAUUUUCUGGCUGAAAUUAAGGGACCUGAGCAAAAAUCUGAUUCAGAGGCUGAAGAAGGACUGCUGAUAUUGUUGGAUUCUGACCUCCUUGCACUCGAAAUGGAAUUUUUGGAGCUACAGAAACUCAAAUAAUGCGCUCUCAAUUGCGUUGGAAAAUAGACAUCCAGGACUUUCUAGCAAUAUAUAAUAGUUUAUACUUUGCCCGCGUUUAGACGAUGCAAACUGGCGUUCAACGCAAGCUUUCUGCCCUAUUCUGGCGUUAAACGCCAGAAACAAGUUGCAAGCUAGAGUCAAACGCCAGAAACAAGUUACAAACUGGCGUUUAACUCCAAAGAAGGCCUCUACAUGUGAAAGCUUCAAUGCUCAGCACAAGCACACACCAAGUGGGUCCGGAAGUAGAUUUCUGCAUCAUUUACUUAAUUCUGUAACCCUAGUAACUAGUUUAGUAUAAAUAGAACUUUUUACUAUUGUAUUAGACAUCUUGGAUGCUGGGAUUUUUGGAUUAUCUUUUGAUCCUUUGAUCACAUUUUGGAGGCUGGCCUCUCAGCCAUGCCUGGACCAUAAUCACUUAUGUAUUUUCAACGGUGGAGUUUCUACACACCAUAGAUUAAGGUGUGGAGCUCUGUUGUUCUUUGAGUAUUAAUGCAACUACUACUAUUUUCUAUUCAA